ACGAUACUAGCUUGCUAGUAGGCGUCGAGUGGCGGACGGGUGAGUAACGCGUAGGAAUCUACCUGAUAGUGGGGGAUAGCCCGAAGAAAUUCGGAUUAAUACCGCAUAAUCUAUUCGUAGUAAAGUGGGGGACUUUCGAGCCUCACGCUAUCAGAUGAGCCUGCGUAAGAUUAGCUAGUUGGUAGGGUAAAAGCCUACCAAGGCGACGAUCUUUAGCUGGUCUGAGAGGAUGAUCAGCCACAUCGGGACUGAGACACGGCCCGAACUCCUACGGGAGGCAGCAGUGGGGAAUAUUGGACAAUGGGGGCAACCCUGAUCCAGCCAUGCCGCGUGUGUGAAGAAGGCCUUCGGGUUGUAAAGCACUUUCAGUCAGGAGGAAAGGUUAGUAGUUAAUACCUGCUAGCUGUGACGUUACUGACAGAAGAAGCACCGGCUAACUCCGUGCCAGCAGCCGCGGUAAUACGGAGGGUGCGAGCGUUAAUCGGAAUUACUGGGCGUAAAGCGUACGCAGGCGGUUUGUUAAGCGAGAUGUGAAAGCCCCGGGCUCAACCUGGGAACUGCAUUUCGAACUGGCA
rnacentral:rRNA from 1 species